rnacentral:tRNA from 1 species
CCCUGAGUGGUACAAAUAGUUAACACAUUUGGCUACUAACCAAAAGGUUGGAGGUUCAAGUCCACUCAAAGGCA